AAUAUAACUCCUGUUAGGAAAUUUUCAAUUAGGCAAAUGCCACAAAAUCAUUUGCAUCCACAACUUAAAGGACAAAAGAUACAACCACCAUAAGCUUCUUCAAGUCUACAUGGUUAAAACAAUACAGUUUUUUAUUUCCACCAAGUGAAAUGGCAACCACUUUGUAAACAUCUUUUCUCCACAAGCUAAAUCUACUUACCGGCCAGGUUGACUUGUUGCUUAACUCUCCGAGCACAUUCUGCAAAAUUUUGAACCACAUUAGCACAACUUAGGGGAUCCUUUUCAUGUUCCUUGUAGCAUUUAAAACAAGCAUCUCUCUCAUCCAAGCAUGGGAUAGGCUUUUGAUUUGGAAGUUUGAAUUCCUUGUCGUGUAGAUCCUUUGCCUUCUUUGUCACUUCUUGCAACAUUUUUUCCUCAUGUUUCUGCAACUUCUCCACAGCCUCUUCGCUCUCUUUAAGCACAGAUCGAAUAGCAUCUAAUUCUGCAAUUGCAGGAUGAGGUGGUGGAGGGACUGGGAUCAACAAAGGAGGCUGAACAGGCCAUCCUGUAGCAGCACGCCCCCUCGUUUCAUCAGGAUCACUAGAGAUUAGCUUCUGAUGUGCUGUUUUGUUUUCUCUUUGUACCUUUGGUUUUGGUUUCCUCGUUUUCUUCUUCAAUUUUUCACCCUCAUCAGCAAGCUGUUUAACUAAAUUGCUGUGGAUCUGUAUAGUGAAUGAUUCACCCAUGAAGACAGCAGAUCUUCACAAGUAUAUUCGAUUCCGACAGAGAGAAUUGUGAGGAGAUCGCCG
rnacentral:misc_RNA from 1 species